AGAGUGAACGCUGGCGGCAGGCCUAACACAUGCAAGUCGAACGGCAGCACAGGAGAGCUUGCUCUCUGGGUGGCGAGUGGCGGACGGGUGAGGAAUACGUCGGAAUCUGCCUAUUUGUGGGGGAUAACGUAGGGAAACUUACGCUAAUACCGCAUACGACCUACGGUGAAAGCGGGACG
rnacentral:rRNA from 1 species